AUCAUUAAAAUUCGUUAAUCUUAAUUAACCUAGAUGAGUAUUUAGAACUUUUUCUUAUUUUUGAGUUUGUAAAAAUUAAAUCUUUCAAGUAAGGUGAACGAUUUUGCUGUGUUUAAUUUAUACAAAAUGUCUCUUUAAAGUUUCAUUAACUCAAAAUCUUUCAGCCCAGUGAUUUUGCGUGUGACGUCAUCCAGGUUCACGUACGUUCUCGUGCUUCAUUCGUUUUUUCAAGAUGGCGGAUCGGCCUCGCUUCACACUACAAAUUGAAGGUCGGUUGUUGCUGACUACAGAAAGAUUCUUAUAUGGAGGCAUGUAAAAGCAAGGAAAGUGAAACUUCAGCUAGACCUUGAGUUCAGUUUACAAUAUGAAGAUCCUGAUAUCAACAUCUGAUCUGAUCAACACCUGAUUUUCAUCUGAGCUGCAGAGUACCAACAUGUUACAAAUGAGAAUUUUCCCCACAAAUUCUUUGGACAACCGCACCA